ACCCGAAGACCUCCACAGCGCUGGGAAAGUGUUCCCUUUGUGCUUUCUUCCCCAGACCUCCAUCAGGGCUGCUGCAGGCCAGCCACCUUCACUUCCCAGGAAAUGAAGAGCCUCACGUGACCCUCACGGGGGUCCUCAGACAAAAGACAAAGACCUGAGCCGCUUAGCAGGAGUUAAGGAGCCAAUCAAGAAGAGGAUGGACAGACCAAAGAAAACAGCCCGAGGUCACAAACACCUGAGAUACAGGAGUGUUCAAGACUGGUGCAGAAGGUGAAUCUCCUGGUUGGAUCCUGAGACAAAGAAAUGCCCUCUGGCCCUAGGGGCUAGCCAAGAAGGACACUCUCUUACAUUCACAGCAACAGCUCAUUUCCAAAGUUUGGAGUUAUGAAGUUCAUUUAGUUGUCAAAGAACCUGGAACAUUUAUCUUAUAGAAGUUCCCAUUUUCUGGAUUUGAGUUAUUGCUUCUUCAGGGGAUCUGGAUCCUUUCUCUGCCCCCUGUAUUUUGUGGAAAGUGGUAGUUUCAUCAUCAUCAUCAUCAUCACGUUACUACCAAGUCAUCCCAAUGUAG